GCGAGCUAUGCUCACCCUUAUUUCUCGGGCUCAAUUUUAGGAUUUCUUUACUUGAGAAUCGAUAUCUAGCUUAAAAAAGUGAAAUUGGAAGCUAUGAAACAUGUAACUCUUCAAUUAAAUGAAGCCAGAUAAUUGAGUACAAGCUUCUGAUCUAACCAAUUUUCUACAUGCCAUAUUUUCAAUGUCCGUUUGAGGUCGGCUCAUGCUUUGAUAACAGAAAAAUUCAAAACAUGGAUUCAACUUACUUGCAACACAAUUGAAUAAAUCUUCUCAACUCGGGCCUUCUACUCUAUUAUCCCACUGAGUUGAAGAUUGUCUUCCCCAUCUCAGAGCUGACAAAAUCUCCCAUUCUCAGGUUUUAACUAAUUUCUGUUCGAGAAUCCCAUAUUGUUUACCAAUUAAUGGCGCUUUUUUCGAUCUCUCGGUCCCUCUCAUCUUCAGCUCGCCCCCAAAACCCCAAAAUCUCAAUAGUUCAGUUCAGUGCAGCCGCAGGAGAUAUAUUCAAUCACUUGCAACAAAAUGGCGGCAACGUAGAGAAAACCCUAUCUACAUUUAAGGCCCAAUUGGAUUCCAAAUGUGUGAGCGGGGUCCUACACAGAUGCAAUCCUAGCCAUUCUCAAAUGGGUCUCAGGUUUUUUAUAUGGGCUGGUCUUCAAUCUGAUUAUAAGCAUACUCCUUAUAUGUAUAACAAAGCGUGUAAAUUGUUUAGCAUUAUUCAGAAUCCGAAACUUCUUUUUGAUGUUAUUGAGGCUUAUAGGACUGAGAGAUGUUCUGUUACUGUUAAGACUUUUAAGGUUGUCUUGAAUUUGUAUAAACAAGCCAAACUUGCAGAUGAGGCGUUGUUGGUAUUGAGGAAAAUGCCAGAAUUUGGUUUAAGAGCAGAUACUACUAUGUAUAAUUUGGUUAUAAGGUUGUUUUGUGUAAAAGGUGAUAUGAAUACAGCUGAAAAUUUGAUGAAAGAAAUGUGUUUGAUUGAUCUUUAUCCAGAUAUGAUCACUUAUGUCGAAAUGGCUAAAGGGUUUUGCAAUGUAGGUCGGUUGGAUGAUGCAUUUGGAUUGUUUAAGGUUAUGAAGGAACAUGGCUGUUUGCCCAAUAAGGUUUUGUACUCUGUUCUUCUUCAUGGGAUCUGUAAGUUUGGGAAUAUGGAGAAAGCCCUUGAGUUGCUAGAGGAAAUGGAGAAAGAAGGUGGGAGUUGCAGUCCUAAUGUAGUAACUUAUACAUCUGUUAUUCAGAGGUUUUGUGAAAAAGGUCAGACAUUGGAGGCAGUGGAGGUUCUUGAUCGUAUGGAAGCUUGUGGCUGUACUCCGAAUCGCGUAACAGCUAGUUGUUUGAUUGAGCGCUUUUGUUUGGAGGGUCGACUUAAUGAGGCUUAUAAAUUGAUUGAUGAUGUUGUUAACAGAGGUGGUGUUUCUUAUGAAGAAUGCUAUAGUUCUCUUGUGGUGUCUUUGAAACGAAAUAGACAGACAGAGGAGGCUGAGAAGCUGUUUAGGAAGAUGCUAGAUAGUGGGUUGAAACCAGAUGGUUUGGCUUGCAGCAUCAUGAUAAGGGAGCUUGCUUUGGUUGGUCGAGUUCUAGAUGGAUAUCAGUUGUGUGAUGAAAUUGAGAAGAUGGGAUACUCGACUUCCAUUGAUUCUGAUUUAUAUUCCCUCCUUUUGGUGGGGCUUUGUGAAAAAAAUCAUUUAGUGGAGGCUGUGAAACUGGCCAGGUUAAUGCUGAUGAAAAAAAUUAAACUGAAAUCUCCUUACAUUGACAAUAUAGUUGAAAUCUUGAAGAAGUCCGGAGAUGAGGAGCUAGUUAACCAUUUAACUGGAAUUUGAAUAGUUUUCACCUGAGAAAAAAGCACAAGGCUAUUAUUUUUCCCUUGGGGGCUCGUGUAUAUUAAGUUAGAAACGGGAAUCUGAAGUAAUUAUUGAUUCUUUAAGUUGAAUCUCUAAUUAAAAAGAAAAGGUAGUGGAGCUGAGUGUUUAGCAUUUGUUUAUUUAAUCAAACUUAAGGACAAGUUCUUGUGUUAUAUUGAAGAUGUUCGAAGCCAUGACAUUCUAUGAGUUCUUUUCUCAUCAUCAUAUUAUUGGAAGCUCUUCUUAAGAAAGCAGGAGAAAGAACAAAGAGACGAAGGAGCUGCUGACUUUCACAUCAGCAUAGAAGAAUUGCAAAUAUACAUGGCAAAACUUGGGGCUGACUAUUGAGAGAAAAUUCUGGUUGGGAUAGGCAGUUCUGAUUUUGUUGUAAUAUGAGUUUGUAGGAGGCCAGGCUCAUUGACCCUGGGAUUAUCAAUAUCAGCUUCCAUUUUUAUCAUCUCUGUGCUUCUUGUGUGUGCUUUCUUAUUUGUAUGCCUACUAAUUGGUAUAAAGCCAGGUAAGUCCCACUAGUUGUUAAAACCACCUAAUUAUAACUCACUCCCAAAAGACUAGCCUAUGAGAUGAGAGCAAUUUCUUGAUUCAUAAAAGGUGAUUCAUUUUAAAGUUUCUUUGUACUGCGACAAGCCUAAUUGAUCAUUGUAGUAUGUGGAGUUCUGGUACUACAAAUAUGAAGAGAAAAAGGGAAAUAUACUUAAAUUUCAGUCAAAAUGCAAAGAGCCCUGUUCAAAACAUCAAAAGGUAAAUUUAAACAAGUAUUUAUUUGUAGGAGAAUUAUCAACUAAUUAUUUCUGCAGUGACUCAACCUGAUGUGUGAAGUUUAUCUCCAUGCUUGGUUUUGGCACUAGUCAUUUAUUUGUUUCUAUUUCUAGAGAUCAAGGCAUUCCCUUGUAAAAAUUGUGAUUGGAAGACAAUUGCACCCAUGUCAAAACUCUGAUUUUGGUUAUAAAUAUGUUUCAUUUUGGAUUAGAUUUGUAUUUACUUUGUCUUUUUGGAUCUUGUGAUAUAGGAAAACAGUCAUGUACUGUCUUACUCGGAAGUAUUAUUUGCCCCUUUGACCACUCCAGAUUUUAGCAUCUCUAGAGAGAUGAGUUUUUCCUUCUAUGACAGACUGUUCUUGUCUGAAAACCUCAAAGUGAUCGAUCUGAGAUUGAAGUCCGGCCAAUGGAAUUCUGAGUUAUUAAAAUGUCUUUUUAAUAGGAAGAUGCCUGACUUAUCAAAAUAUCCCUGUGGGGUCCUUGGAUAACAAGGAUAAAAUUAUCGGGCAUUUCACCCAAGAUGGAGAAUACUCUAUUCGAAGUGGGUACAAGGUGGCAAUAAACGAAUGGGAGAAAGUAUAAGGGUCUAAUACGAGAGACAGAAAAGUGGUGGCGGUUUGAGUGUCCCAAAAAAUUAAACACUUUAUUUGGAAGUUGUGGCUCUUUUUUGCAGGAAAGUUAGAGAAGAUCAUUUUUGUAGCAGAUGUGGCGGGCCAAAGGAAAAGGAAGAUUGGAGUCAUGCUAUUUGGACUUGUUGAAGAAUCAAGCAUCUGUGGAAAAUCAGUGGCCUCAAGACAAUAGUUCAUAAGGCUAAAAUGGAUGAUCCAAUCUCUUUUCUGUAAGACGUUGCAAGCUUAAACACAAAGGACAGAUUUGAAUUUUUCAUCAUUGUUGCGUGGCAAGCUUGGUACUCCAAGCACUGCGAUGUUAAUGAGCGGACUACUCCAAAUCUUGAUGCUCUCUUGGAGUGGACCGCAGCAUACGUACAAGACUUCCAAGGGCAGAAAACUGAGAAGAAAACAAGGAGAGAUAACACUGUCACUAAAUGGAUUCUGCCUGAGAUUGGGACUGUUCUGAUUUAUGUCGAUGCAGGUGUAAAUCGAGAUGAAGGGACCUGAAGUAAUGGUACUGUCAUAAUGUUCGUGUUUUGGCUUCUGAGGGCAUAUUCUUCAACAAUUAUUAUUGCCCCUUAGUUGCUGAAAUUUUGGCUAUCAGGAAUGGUAUCAAACUUGCAAGUAAGUGUGGCUCUUUCAAUUUUAUCAUCUCUUCGGAUUGUCAAAGUCCAGUUUAUAUGCUGAAUAAGAAGAUUGAUGCGUCUGGUGUUGUGGAGAUCAUCGUUGAGGAAACGUGGAACGAGUCUCAGUUAAUUGGAGGAGUGCAAUUUGUCUUCAAUCUGAGAACCUCAAAUUUUGCUCACCUAGUAGCUAAGAAUGCUUUGACUUGUAAAGCAUUUGGUUUUUGGAAUGAGGGUGUCCCCUCUGCGGCUUCUGCUGUUGCAGAGGAUUUGCCUAUUCCUUAAAUGUGUUUGUUGAAUGUAUUUCUCCUUAAAAAAAAAAAAUCAAGACUCUUGGCAUCUUCUUGUGAA